rnacentral:rRNA from 1 species
AGAGUUUGAUCCUGGCUCAGAAUCAACGCUGGCGGCGUGCCUAACACAUGCAAGUCGCACGAGAAAGGGUAGCAAUACCUGAGUAAAGUGGCGCACGGGUGAGUAACACGUGACUAAUCUACCCUCGAGUGGGGAAUAACUGAGAGAAAUCUUAGCUAAUACCGCAUAACACUUACGAGUCAAAGCAGCAAUGCGCUUGGGGAGGAGGUCGCGGCCGAUUAGCUAGUUGGCGGGGUAAUGGCCCACCAAGGCGAUGAUCGGUAUCCGGCCUGAGAGGGCGCACGGACACACUGGAACUGAAACACGGUCCAGACUCCUACGGGAGGCAGCAGUGGGGAAUUUUGCGCAAUGGGGGAAACCCUGACGCAGCAACGCCGCGUGGAGGAUGAAAUAUCUUGGUAUGUAAACUCCUUUUGAUGGGGAAGAUUAUGACGGUACCCAUAGAAGAAGCCC